UUUCGCAAUGCCCGAAAGGGUGACGAAGCGACGCCGCGUGCGGGAAGAAGGCCUUCGGGUUGUAAACCGCUGUCGGGAGUUAAGAAAUGCAAGGGUGUUAAUAGUAUCCUUGCUUGACUAAGGCUCCGGAGGAAGCCACGGCUAACUCUGUGCCAGCAGCCGCGGUAAUACAGAGGCGGCAAGCGUUGUUCGGAAUCAUUGGGCGUAAAGAGCACGUAGGCGGCUGUGUAAGUCGGUUGUGAAAGCCUUCCGCUCAACGGGAGAACGGCAUCCGAUACUGCAUAGCUUGAGUGCGGGAGGGGAGAGUGGAACUUCUGGUGGAGCGGUGAAAUGCGUAGAUAUCAGAAGGAACGCCGGCGGCGAAAGCGGCUCUCUGGCCCAUAACUGACGCUGAGUGUGCGAAAGCUAGGGGAGCAAACGGGAUUAGAUACCCCGGUAGUCCUAGCCGUAAACGAUGGGCACUAAGUAGAGGGGUUUUA
rnacentral:rRNA from 1 species